ACGUAAUAUACGAGGCACGACGCAAUAAGAAAAAGUAACUACGCGUGUGGUCCGAUAUUAUUGUAAUAGCCUUGCGAUAAUAAAAUUUCAUCGAGUUACGAAGGAUAUAUGUAUUUUUGCGUAUUUACAAUUUUAGACAUUAUAAUUCGCUAGUGAACUUUGUUGAUGCGAUUUUCUGUUUAUCGCUAAAGACGACUAGCGUCAGCUGUAACCCUCUUAUACAUAUGUGUACACACACACACACAUAUAUAUAUAUUUACGUAUACACACACACGAAUAACUCUUGUACGAGCUCUCGACGAGACGGAAGGGAAGAAAGUUGGCGUUACGCGUCCCGUGACGAACGCUUUACACGGAGUAACAGCCGUAAGAGAGCCACAGGUGCGCCCAUGUUUAUCCGUCGAUCCAGAGUUACAUACAUAGGCAAAGACCACUCGCGUAGGAGAAGGAAGAAGAUCUUUUCUUCGUUUCUAUGCUUGUUCCAUAGAAAGGAAGACCGAACAGGUAGCAGGUGCGCGAGUUCGACUCACAGACUCGGCGCCGCUCUUCGUCGGCUCGCCGUGUGCGAGGGAGUUCUGACUGGCCUGUGCGGUCCUUCCACCACUACGGCACACUGCUACCACUACCACUACUACCGCCACCACCACACCACGACGACGCUACUA